rnacentral:rRNA from 1 species
AACGUAGGAGACGAACGUUAUCCGGAGUUACUGGGCGUAAAGGGCGUGUAGGCGGUUUAUUAAGUCUGGCGUGAAAGCUCUCGGCUAAACCGGGAGAGGUCGUUGGAUACUGGCGAACUAGAGGAUGGUAGAGGCGUGUGGAAUUCCGGGUGUAGUGGUGAAAUGCGUAGAGAUCCGGAGGAACACCAGUGGCGAAGGCGGGUCUCUGGGCAGUAACUGACGCUGAGGAGCGAAAGCGUGGGGAGCGAACAGG